rnacentral:rRNA from 1 species
CAAUAGCGUAUAUUAAAGUUGUUGCGGUAAAAAGCUCGUAGUUGGAUUUCUGUUGAGAGCGACCGGUCCAUACCAUGUAUGCGUAUCUGGCUUGCUCUCGGCAUCCUCUCGAUAGACGUUGCUGCGCUUGAUUGCGUGGCGCGGAUCUCGGGACUUUUACUUUGAGGAAAUUAGAGUGUUCACGGCAGGCUUUCGCCAGAAUACAUUAGCAUGGAAUAAUACUAUAGGAUCUUGGUUCUAUUUUGUUGGUUUCUAGAAUUGAGAUAAUGAUUAAUAGGGACAAUUGGGGGCAUUCGUAUCAACACGUCAGAGGUGGAAUUCUUGGAUUGUGUUGCGACGAACUACUGCGAAAGCAUUUGCCAAGGAUGUUUUCAUUGA